GAAUUACUUUCCUGUGGUAGAGGGUUGGACUUGUAAUCCAAAAACAUGGGUUUGAUACCCAUCCAAGCACCG